GAUGAAGAACGUAGCGAAAUGCGAUAACUAGUGUGAAUUGCAGAUUUCAGUGAAUCAUCGAGUCUUUGAACGCACAUUGCGCCCCCUGGUAUUCCGGGGGGCAUGCCUAUUCGAGCGUCGUGGUCACGCUUCAAGCCCGGCUUGAUGAUGGGGAGCGCCCUCUCUCGGGGGGGGGGCCUCCUUCAAAUGCAACUCCGGUCGCCUCGUUGGCUGGGAGCGCAGCAGCAGUGCGCUUCCCCGAGGCGACCGGAUGCCCCUCGUGGGCUCGAGAUUGCUAGACCUCGAAUUAGGCAGGGAUACCCGCUGAACUUAAGCAUAUCAAUAAGCGGAGGA
rnacentral:misc_RNA from 1 species